rnacentral:rRNA from 1 species
UGAGCGACCUACCUAAUUGUGGGGGAUAGCCGGCCCAACGGCCGGGGUAAUACCGCAUACGAUCGGAGAGGGGCAUCCCUUUCUGAGGAAAACGCCUUCGGGUCGCAAUUUGAGGGCUCGCGGCCUAUCAGCUAGUUGGCGGGGUAACGGGCCCCACCAAGGCGACGACGGGUAGCCGGCCUGAGAGGGUGACCGGCCACACUGGGACUGAGACACGGGCCCAGACUCCUACGGGAGGCAG